rnacentral:rRNA from 1 species
AGCGAACGCUGGCGGCGCGCUUAACACAUGCAAGUCGCGUGCGCAGUCUCCUGUAGCAAUACAGAGGAUGGGCGCACGGCGCACGGGUGCGUAACACGUGGGCAACCUGCCCUGGGAUGGGGAAUAACCCCGCGAAAGCGGAGCUAAUACCGCAUAACAUCCCGGCUGCUUCGGCGGCCGGGAUCAAAGCCCGCAAGGGCGUCACAGGAGGGGCCCGCGGCCGAUUAGCUAGUUGGUGAGGUAACGACUCGCCAAGGCGAUGAUCGGUAGCCGGUCUGAGAGGACGAUCGGCCACACUGGAACUGAGACACGGUCCAGACUCCUACGGGAGGCAGCAGUGGGGAAUCUUGCGCAAUGGGCGAAAGCCUGACGCAGCGACGCCGC